rnacentral:rRNA from 1 species
CACGAACGCUGGCGGCAGGCUUAACACAUGCAAGUCGAGAGCCCCGCAAGGGGAGCGGCAGACGGGUGAGUAACGCGUGGGAAUCUACCCAUCUCUACGGAAUAACGCAUGGAAACGUGUGCUAAUACCGUAUACGUCCUUCGGGAGAAAGAUUUAUCGGAGAUUGAUGAGCCCGCGUUGGAUUAGCUAGUUGGUGGGGUAAAGGCCUACCAAGGCGACGAUCCAUAGCUUGUCUGAGAGGAUGAUCAGCCACACUGGGACUGAGAAACGGCCCAGACUGCUGCGGGAGGCAGCAUUGGGGAAUGUUGGACAAUGGGCGCAAGCCUGAUCCAGCCAUGCCGCGUGAGUGAGGAAGGCCCUAGGGUUGUAAAGCUCUGUCACCGGUGAAGAUAAUGACGGUAACCGGAGAAGAAGCCCCGGCUAACUUCGUGCCAGCCGCCGCCGUAACAC